UACGGGGGGGGCAAGCGUUGUUCGGAUUCAUUGGGCGUAAAGGGUGUGUAGGUGGCGCCGUAAGUCGGGUGUGAAAUUUCGGAGCUUAACUCCGAAACUGCAUUCGAUACUGCGGUGCUUGAGGACUGGAGAGGAGACUGGAAUUUACGGUGUAGCAGUGAAAUGCGUAGAUAUCGUAAGGAAGACCAGUGGCGAAGGCGGGUCUCUGGACAGUUCCUGACACUGAGACACGAAGGCCAGGGGAGCAAACGGG
rnacentral:rRNA from 1 species